rnacentral:lncRNA from 1 species
CAUGGCAUAGGUAAAAGGGAACGAGGAGGCAAGCCCCCCAUCUUGUUCUCUUUUUCUCCUUGAGUCGGAUGAAUCGAGGGUUCCAAACCUUCCAAAAGUGAUAGGUAUGUGUUGUUUCUUGGCACUCUCUUAGACUGUCUAUCCCUUUAUACCUGGGUAUAAAAGCCAGAAAGAAAGUAGCUUUUUUGAAAUGGUUUAGUAAAUAGGAAUUCCAGUAAUACAGUAAACAUUGGAAGAACAUAGGAAUAUGGGUCCAUAUAGGAAUGAAGAAAGGGCAUGAUAGGCUAGUUUGAUUCCAAGCCAAGCAGCAGGGCAUGAUCAGUCUUAUCGGGCGGGGAAUUGCAUUCGCUAAUAGAGCUUCCUACGAUCGCACCCUAGGAGAGUGCAAAUGGCAAGUUGAAUGGUCUGGUUCCACUUAGUAGCCCAAAUCCGCCCCUUUAACACGCAAGUACGCUUUAGCUACUAAGCUUCGAAACAACCCAUAGGCUUACUUCGAAGUAGGAGCUUGAACUCAAGUAUUAGAAUGAGUCUUAU